rnacentral:rRNA from 1 species
UACGUAGGGUCCGAGCGUUGUCCGGAAUUAUUGGGCGUAAAGGGCUCGUAGGCGGUUCGUCACGUCGGGAGUGAAAACUCGGGGCUUAACCCCGAGCCUGCUUCCGAUACGGGCAGACUAGAGGUAGGCAGGGGAGAGCGGAACUCCUGGUGUAGCGGUGGAAUGCGCAGAUAUCAGGAAGAACACCGGUGGCGAAGGCGGCUCUCUGGGCCUUACCUGACACUGAGGAGCGAAAGCGUGGGGAGCGAACAGG